UCAGCUUCUGUUCGUAGUUUACUUGC
rnacentral:piRNA from 1 species